UUAAAUUGAAGAGUUUGAUCAUGGCUCAGAUUGAACGCUGGCGGCAGGCCUAACACAUGCAAGUCGAACGGUAACAGGAAACAGCUUGCUGUUUCGCUGACGAGUGGCGGACGGGUGAGUAAUGUCUGGGAAACUGCCUGAUGGAGGGGAUAACUACUGGAAACGGUAGCUAAUACCGCAUAACGUCGCAAGACCAAAGAGGGGGACCUUCGGGCCUCUUGCCAUCGGAUGUGCCCAGAUGGGAUUAGCUUGUUGGUGGGGUAACGGCUCACCAAGGCGACGAUCCCUAGCUGGUCUGAGAGGAUGACCAGCCACACUGGAACUGAGACACGGUCCAGACUCCUACGGGAGGCAGCAGUGGGGAAUAUUGCACAAUGGGCGCAAGCCUGAUGCAGCCAUGCCGCGUGUAUGAAGAAGGCCUUCGGGUUGUAAAGUACUUUCAGCGGGGAGGAAGGGAGUAAAGUUAAUACCUUUGCUCAUUGACGUUACCCGCAGAAGAAGCACCGGCUAACUCCGUGCCAGCAGCCGCGGUAAUACGGAGGGUGCAAGCGUUAAUCGGAAUUACUGGGCGUAAAGCGCACGCAGGCGGUUUGUUAAGUCAGAUGUGAAAUCCCCGGGCUCAACCUGGGAACUGCAUCUGAUACUGGCAAGCUUGAGUCUCGUAGAGGGGGGUAGAAUUCCAGGUGUAGCGGUGAAAUGCGUAGAGAUCUGGAGGAAUACCGGUGGCGAAGGCGGCCCCCUGGACGAAGACUGACGCUCAGGUGCGAAAGCGUGGGGAGCAAACAGGAUUAGAUACCCUGGUAGUCCACGCCGUAAACGAUGUCGACUUGGAGGUUGUGCCCUUGAGGCGUGGCUUCCGGAGCUAACGCGUUAAGUCGACCGCCUGGGGAGUACGGCCGCAAGGUUAAAACUCAAAUGAAUUGACGGGGGCCCGCACAAGCGGUGGAGCAUGUGGUUUAAUUCGAUGCAACGCGAAGAACCUUACCUGGUCUUGACAUCCACGGAAGUUUUCAGAGAUGAGAAUGUGCCUUCGGGAACCGUGAGACAGGUGCUGCAUGGCUGUCGUCAGCUCGUGUUGUGAAAUGUUGGGUUAAGUCCCGCAACGAGCGCAACCCUUAUCCUUUGUUGCCAGCGGUCCGGCCGGGAACUCAAAGGAGACUGCCAGUGAUAAACUGGAGGAAGGUGGGGAUGACGUCAAGUCAUCAUGGCCCUUACGACCAGGGCUACACACGUGCUACAAUGGCGCAUACAAAGAGAAGCGACCUCGCGAGAGCAAGCGGACCUCAUAAAGUGCGUCGUAGUCCGGAUUGGAGUCUGCAACUCGACUCCAUGAAGUCGGAAUCGCUAGUAAUCGUGGAUCAGAAUGCCACGGUGAAUACGUUCCCGGGCCUUGUACACACCGCCCGUCACACCAUGGGAGUGGGUUGCAAAAGAAGUAGGUAGCUUAACCUUCGGGAGGGCGCUUACCACUUUGUGAUUCAUGACUGGGGUGAAGUCGUAACAAGGUAACCGUAGGGGAACCUGCGGUUGGAUCACCUCCUUACCUUAAAGAAGC
rnacentral:rRNA from 1 species